rnacentral:rRNA from 1 species
GAUGAACGCUAGCUACAGGCCUAACACAUGCAAGUCGAGCGACCGGCGCACGGGUGAGUAACACGUAUCAAACCUGCCCUCUACUGGGGGAUAUCCUAUCGAAAGCACGAAUAAUACCAGUUAUACAGGUUGCUGAUGCGUUCCAUUAGGCUGUUGGUGAGCUAACGGCCCACCAAACCUUCGAUGGAUAGGGGUUCUGAGAGGAAGGUCUCCCACAUUGGAACUUAGACACUGUCCAAACUCCUACGGGAGGCAGCAGUGAGGAAUAUUGGUCAAUGGGCGUUAGCCUGAACCAGCCAAGUAGCGCGAAGGAUGAAGGCUUAUGGUUCGUAAACUUCUUUUAUAUAAGAGUAUGUAUUAUAUGAAGAAGGAUCGGCGAACUCCGUGCCAGCAGCCGCGGUAAUUC